GGGGAUGACAGGCAUCGACGGUUAGCCCCGUUUGUAUGUGCAAUGUCGAAGCUGAUCUUAACUUCGUAAAAAUUUGAUCAACAUUUACGUGCAAAGAAUAGCGUAAAAAGCCCAUACUUUUCUGGUAUGAGCUUCGCUCCCGCUGUAGCGUAACUCACGCUCGGCCGGACCGACAUCACCGUAUCUGAUGUCUGGUAUGAUACGGCUGGUGUAAUAACCAUCAGACUCUGGAACACGAACCCGUUCCUCUAGUGUUCUAAAAUUCUCGGGAACUCGGUGAGAAAUCAUUUCGUCCAUCUUCUACCUUCUCAUCUAAACUACAAGAUGGUCUAUACAUUGUAGAGUCAUGCUGACGACCUAAUUCGGACCCGGGUUCAACUCCCGGCAUCUCCACUG
rnacentral:tmRNA from 1 species